rnacentral:rRNA from 1 species
GUGAGGGGAGUGAAAUAGAUCCUGAAACCGUAUGCGUACAAGCAGUAGGAGCAGACUUGUUCUGUGACUGCGUACCUUUUGUAUAAUGGGUCAGCGACUUAAUGUCAGUAGCAAGGUUAACCGUAUAGGGGAGCCGUAGCGAAAGCGAGUGUUAACUGCGCGUUUAGUUGCUAGGUAUAGACCCGAAACCCGGUGAUCUAGCCAUGGGCAGGUUGAAGGUUGAGUAACAUCAACUGGAGGACCGAACCCACUAACGUUGAAAA